AAAGUACUCCCUCCGUUCCGAAUUACUUGUCUUAGAUUUGUCUAGAUACGGAUGUAUCUAGCACUAAAAUUAGUGCUAGAUACAUCCGUAUCUAGACAAAUCCAAGACAAGUAAUUUAGAACGGAGGGAGUAACAC
rfam:Triticum aestivum genome assembly, contig: Triticum_aestivum_CS42_TGACv1_scaffold_114645_2AS